AAAAUAUGUGAGGUUGAGAGAAAAAAAUGUAUCUUUUUAUGGAUAACAUAGUUUCGGGUUUUAUAAACCCUCGAAGUUAUGCGGUUAUACUGAAUGAAUCGAAGCGAGAAGAGGAAAAUGUAUGAAAGUUAGACCCUACCGUAUUGUUUACACUUCCCAUCUGCGCUCUAAAUCGCAAUAAAAAUGAUAAUAAAAGCGCUAUGUGGUUAAAACAAUCAUUGCUAUGGAUGCAUUUUACCAUAAAAAAGUUUCGUUAGGAAAAUUAGGGAGAUUUUUGUGGACUUCGGGAAAUUUGGAAGAGAAAACGUUGCCCUGUGUUUUCUAUGCGUGAAUAAAGUUUUUGUGUCUGAAUGAAACAUGAUACAGGUUAAUGUCACGUUAAUAAAUGUACAGGAGAGAGAUAGUACACUGCUCAUUUUUUACAUGAGAAACCGAAGGGUAUGUCACUUGACAGAUUAAAGCUGGAUGUUGCGGGGACAGGAGGUAUAGACUCACACCGGAGAGCCAGAGGAACAGCUCGCCUCCGAACUUAAAUUCUUUCGAACGUUCUGUUCUAACGGACAAAACCUCAGGACAGAUAUAAAAAAAUGUAAAGUGCAGUUGUUAUUUAAUUAAUUCGCAAAAAUGUAAGAGCAUUUUGAUGAAAUGAAACUGUCAAAUUGUUGAUGUGAAUAUUUUUACGAGACUUCAGUACAAAAUAAAUGUUACAUUUUUAAACUAACAAGGAAAAAGUGAACAGCAUGAUGUUAAGAAGGGCCACAUUCUUUCCCCCAGCAGACAAAAGGACGUUUCACCUUUGAAGUGGCUGGAUAAAUCAAUGCGCAAAACGGUUAGCCUUACAACAUCAUAUUGUUCGCGAAAAAUGGAUUAACAUCUGAGUUCUUGAAAAUUUAUAUUCGUCAAUAUACUUAACGUGGAUCAUAACAUAAAAUUGAAAUUUAACAUAGAAUCUGGUUGCUCCGUAGACUGUCUGCUUUUGUGGUCGUACCUGAUGGUUACGUGGACACAUUGGAUAUGAGUAAAAUAGAUGCAAACUCCCAUAAUACCACUGAAGUCAGUCCUGGAUACUAGUAUGCUAUAUAUACGGACGGAGGAAAGUUGUGGACUGUUCAAUUACAGUUCAUGAAAGAGGACAGGUAUAAUAUUUAAAAUUAAUACAAAGACAAAAGUUAUAAAAACCAGCUGUGAGUUUUAAAAAUUAUGAUUUAAAGAAACGAGCCUUUGCUUUAUAUUUCCGAGCGCAUCGUCAGUAUUGUCGUUUUCAUACCGUACUAAAUAGUUAACUUAAUUAUGCACAUACAUGAAAUAUGUGAUAUAUGAAUCAACCUGUUUACGUGUAUCUAAAUUUAACAUGAUGACUUGACACAUACAAUAUUUUCUGCUGUUAUUGUAGCCGAAAAUGAACAAUGCGUUGAGUGUUGUUGUUCUUAAAAUACCUAACAAAAGUAAUUUUCAGUAACCGAAGGGUCAUUGAUUCUUUCAGAAAUUUGAUAAAGCACUAUCAUCUUCCAACGGGCCGACCAUAAAAUUUUGAUGUACAACCAAAACGGCGAAGUGAGCUGCAUCCCCGGGGCACUUGAAUCUCGUUUGACAUGGUAGUCAUGUGACGGGGAGUCACGCUCCAGGGGUAAGCUAGAAGACACUUAGCACAGUUACCGUCACCAUACAGUUGUUUGCGCUCUAUUAGGUUAACUUUCGUUAACAGUUGUAAAGUCAACAUAAACACUUAUGCUUAGUUGAUACAGACUGGUACGAGGAAACCAUAUACUU
rnacentral:lncRNA from 1 species